UCUACGGGGGGCAGCAGUCGGGAAUAUUGCACAAUGGAGGAAACUCUGAUGCAGUGACACCGCGUAUAGGGAGAAGGUUUUCGGAUUGUAAACUAUUUUAGACAGGGAAGAAAAAAGACAGUACCUGUAGAAUAAGCUCAGGCUAACUACGUGCCAGCAGCCGCGGUAAUACGUAGGGGGCAAGCGUUAUCCGGAUUUACUGGGUGUAAAGGGAGCGGAGACGGCCAGACAAGUCAGAAGUGAAAGCCCAGGGCUCAACCCUGGGACUGCUU
rnacentral:rRNA from 1 species